rnacentral:rRNA from 1 species
UACGUAGGGGGCAAGCGUUGUCCGGAUUUAUUGGGCGUAAAGAGCGUGUAGGCGGCCAUCCAGGUCCGUUGUGAAAACUGGAGGCUUAACCUCCAGACGUCGAUGGAAACCGUAUGGCUAGAGUCCGGAAGAGGAGAGUGGAAUUCCUGGUGUAGCGGUGAAAUGCGCAGAUAUCAGGAAGAACACCAGUGGCGAAGGCGGCUCACUGGCCCGAUACUGACGCUGAGGCACGAAAGCGUGGGGAGCAAACAGG